UGUCAUGAGACACGUAGCCGCAGUGAAAGCGAGCCUGAAUAGGGCGCACAGUCAGUGGGGGUAGACGCGAAACCAAGUGAUCUACACUUGGCCAGGAUGAAGUCCCGGUAACACGGGAUGGAGGUCCGCACCAAUAAGCGUUGAAAAGCUUCUGGAUGAGCCGAGUGUAGGAGUGAAAGGCCAAUCAAACUUGGAGAUAGCUCGUACUCCCCGAAAGGCAUUUAGGUGCCGCGUCGGAUGGUCACCGUGAGAGGUAGAGCGACCGAUAGGACAAGAGGGCUUCACCGCCUAUCGAGUCCUGACGAACUCCGAAUGCUCACGGUCUGCAGUCCGGCAGUAAGGGGGCGGGUGCUAAGGUCCGUCCCCGAGAGGAGAAGAAUCCAGACCGCCGUCUAAGGUCCCGGAGUUCUGCCUGAGUUAGUCUAACGAAGUCUGGUCCCUAUGACAGCUAGGAUGUUGGCUUGGAAGCAGCCAUUCAUUCAAAGAGUGCGUAACAGCUCACUAGUCGAGGGUCCGGGCAUGGAUAAUAAUCGGGUAUAAGGCAGACACCGAAGGCGCGGGAUAGCAUUUAAGAAAGUAUCGGUAGGGGAGCAUACUCACAGCGUUGAAUGGUGUACGUAAGUUAUCCUGGAGCGGUGAGUAAAGCAAAUGUAGGAAUAAGUAACGAUAAGGAGGGUUAGAUUCCCUCCCGCUGUAAGACCAAGGUUUCCCGGGCAAUGCCAAUCAGCCCGGGGUCAGUCGGGUCCUAAGUCUAAGCCGAACGGCGAUGGCGAUGGCAGAGACGGUUAAUAUUCCGUCACUGCCGCAUGGGGCGACGUGGAGACGGAGCAGUGAAACCACCGCGGGGCGACGGAAGUCCCCGUUGAAGAGUGUAGGUGUUGAGGAUGGCAGGCAAAUCCACCAUCCGAGCUGAACUUGAUAGUAUGGAGUCUUCUUCGGAAGAAUCCAAUAGUGUGGGUAAUCAUACUCCCGAGAAAAUCCGCUAAGCUUAACCCAUGCGGCACCCGUACCGCAAACGGACACACGUGGUCGGGUAGAACAUACUAAGGCGUUGAGAGAUUCAUGGUUAAGGAACUAGGCAAAUUGACCCUGUAACUUCGGGAUAAAGGGUCCUCGUGAUGAGCGAGGCGCAGAGAAUAGGUCCAGGCAACUGUUUAACAAAAACACAGGGCUGUGCAAACUCGAAAGAUGACGUAUACAGCCUGACACCUGCCCGGUGCCGGAAGGUUAAGAGGAGAUGUCACCAGCAAUGGGAAGCAUUGAAUUGAAGCCCCGGUAAACGGCGGCCGUAACUAUAACGGUCCUAAGGUAGCGAAAUUCCUUGUCGGGUAAGUUC
rnacentral:rRNA from 1 species